CAUUAGAUGGCUGAAAAUUAAGCAAUGGUCUCUUAAACCAAUAUAUAGUAAAUAAUUACUUCUAAUGA
rnacentral:tRNA from 1 species